rnacentral:tRNA from 1 species
CCCCAAGUGGUCGAGUUGGAAAGACGCCCGCCCGGAAGGAGGGAGGUCCCAGGUUCGAAUCCUGGCGUGGGGU